UACGUAGGGUGCAAGCGUUAAUCGGAAUUACUGGGCGUAAAGCGUGCGCAGGCGGUUAUGUAAGACAGAUGUGAAAUGCCCGGGCUUAACCUGGGAACUGCAUUUGUGACUACAAGGCUAGAGUGUGGCAGAGGGGGGGUGGAAUUCCACGUGUAGCAGUGAAAUGCGUAGAUAAUGCGGAGGAACACCGAUGGCGAAGGCAAUCCC
rnacentral:rRNA from 1 species